CGAGGUAUGAGCCGUCCAAUAGUUGACACUGGCUUGUGUCACAAGCUAGUGUCAACUCUUGUACGGCUCAUACCUCGA
rnacentral:pre_miRNA from 1 species